AAUCAACGCUGGCGGCGUGCCUAACACAUGCAAGUCGAACGCGAAAGUCCCGCAAGGGAUCGGUAGCGUGGCAAAACGGGUGAGUAACACGUGGGUGACCUGCCUUCGAGUGGGGGGAUAACGUCCCGAAAGGGACGCUAAUACCGCAUGACAUCCCGCCUUUGAAGAGGUGGAGAUCAAAGCUGCGGAUCGCAAGACGUAGCGCUUGAAGAGGGGCCCGCGCCUGAUUAGCAGUUGGUGGGGUAAUGGCCCACCAAGGCAACGAUCAGUAUCCGGCCUGAGAGGGCGGACGGACACACUGGGACUGAGACACGGCCCAGACUCCUACGGGAGGCAGCAGUGGGGAAUUGUUCGCAAUGGGCGCAAGCCUGACGACGCAACGCCGCGUGGAGGAU
rnacentral:rRNA from 1 species